rnacentral:lncRNA from 1 species
AUUCUUUCCUUCCCAGCUCCUCCACCACCACCACUCCCUAUUGGUGAAAUUGGCACAUGUCAAAGAGCUAACAAAGGGAUCUUCCUAAAAGGCGUCAUUGUGUGCCCAAAGGGUUUCUGGACUUGGACAUCAUGGUGGACUGCGAAGGAGAUACAGAGCUCAUCUAGAGACGCUUGUAUCUACUCAAGUCCUGCCACCUUGGAGGUCUACUAGGACCAUGUAGGGUCACCAUAGAUGCUGUCUACUAGUGUUAUGCACAACAUAACUGCCCAAAACUUUAAUUGCCAGUAUUCUAUAGUCAGAAUUAUCUCAGCAGGAGAAUCUAUGGAGAAAACAAGAUUAUAAUGAGAAAAUGUCCUUGAUAAACACGCAAUUAGAGGAAGAGGAGUCGGCUUAACUUACUCAUCCAUCCAACCACUCAGCACUCUCUCUAUAUCCUUCCUGAGUUGAUGGAAAUGGCCCCAAAGACUAGCCAGGGUGCCAUCUUCUCUAGACAGUGAUAGAGAUGCUCUGAAAAAUUGUAUUUCUUUAGCUUCUCAUUUUCUAGACUUUAUGCAGACAAUCCCCUUGUGUUCACUUGGAAGACACAACUGACCAGGUCUCAACGUUAGACAUGUUAAUAUAGUCAUAUACAUUCUUUUUUUAACUUUUACUUUAGGUUCAGGGGUACAUGUACACAUAUGUUAUAUAGACAAAUUAAGCAUCAUGAGGGUUUGGUGUACAGAUUAUUUUGUUACUCAGGCAAUAAGCAUUGUGCCCGAGAGGUAGUUUUUCCAUCGUUACCCUCCUCCCGCCCUCCACCCUUGGUGUCUAUCAUUCCCUUCUUUGUGUCCAUAUGUACUCGGUGUACUCUCACUUAUAAACGAGAACACGUGGUAUUUGGUUUUCUGUUCCUGUGUUAAUUUGCUUAGAAUAAUGGCCUCUAGCUCCAUCCAUCUUGCUGCAAAGGACAUGAUCUCGUUCUUUUUUAUGGCUGCACAGCAUUCCAUGGUGUAUAUAUACCACAUCUUCUUUAUCCAAUCUACCACUGACAGACAUUUAGGUUGAUUUCAUGUCUUUGCUAUUGUGAAUAGUUCUGUGAGGAACAUACGGUUGCAUGUGUCUUUAUGGUAAAACAAUUUAUAUUCCUCUAGGUCUAUACCCAAUAAUGAGAUUGCUGGGUCGCAUAGAAAUUCUCUUUUAAGUUCUUUAAGAAAUCACCGAACUGCUUUCCACAGUGGUGGAACUAAUUUACAUUCCCACCAGCAUUGUAAGCAUUCCCUUUCUAUACAACCUUGCCAACAUCUGUUGUUUUUUGACUUUUUAAUAAUAGCCAUUCUGACUGGUGUGAGAUGGUAUCUCAUUGUGGUUUUGAUUUGCAUUUCUCUAAUGAUUAAUGAUGUUGAGCAUUUUUUAUGUGCUUGUUGGUCAAGUCAUUUGCAUUCUUAACACUACACUUGGGUUAAUUAAAUAUCUCAGCCACUAUGUUCAAAUUAUUGCUUAGGAAAAGUUAGUUUUCUCAGGAAAUUGAUCUCACCCAAAACAAGUUUUCCUAAGCCUUGAGGGGAGCCUUAUUGUUGUGCCUUUGUGCAGAAUUCACUAUUUUUGGGAGAUAUAAACAUUCUAGAGUAUUAAAGCUUCACUCUAGUGGGAAGCAUUUAACACAGAUGAGGCUAAAUAGAAAAAUACACUAAAUAGGUAAUAGUAAUAAUAUAAAUUGAGCUGGUGUCUUUCUUUUUUAAUUGUUGGGGACUCAGUUAUAGAAUGGGAGGAUCACAAAGCUUCUGAAAGGAAGAACCCAUCCAUGUAGGCCAGGAUUCAUCAAUCUCUCCAUCCCAAGAUGUCUGUCUUCCCCUCAGCAUCACAGGACACUGGUUCAGGCCCUGGGGUGGAGGAGAUAGCUGGCGUGGGCUAGAGAGGGGGAACCACCUCCCACCAGAGGAACUGGAGGGCUGAGUGGUGGGCUGAGGGCCACUGGGAAAGGGAAAGCCCCUUGGCUGACACACCUGUGAGUGUUAAACAUGCACAGAUGGGAAGCCUGUGUUUACCUAUGAUUUGGACACAGGAUUAGAAGGUCACAUUCAAAAAAUGCCUCCUAAGAACCCCCUGGAGGGAACAGACUUUGGGUUAAAGCAUUUUCUGAAGAGACUCAAAGCAAGUUCUUCUCUUGUUGAGAGAUAAGAUAAAUGAGGACCCUCACUCUUGGCCUUUUUCCCCCUACUUAUAGUUUCUACAGAUGCUUGGAGUCAUAUGAUCUACUCUAAGCAAAUUCUGACUGAGGUACGACAGGAGGGAUCCAGGUUCUGUGAGGCCUGAAAACAAUACGGUUAUUGUAAGGAUUAAGAGAGACAAUAUAUGUAAUCUUUGGCUUGAUGCUUUGCACAAUGUAAGGACUCAAUAAACAACAGUUACCUAAGGGAUAGGUCAUGAAGCAAGGAGUCCAGUGAGGAUAUUCCCUCAACAGUGUGGGCCAGAGAUGAGAAAGCUUACACUGGCACUGUUGUUUGGCAGCAAAGAUGGAGAUGGAGAAGGUGGAACAGUGCUGGAAGAAAUUAAGAGGACAGGAAUAGUAGGGUGUGCUUGAUGAUUGGAUUCAGAGGAUGAUUUGAGAAGUGGGAAGAGGGAAGUGCCAGCCAAAAAACUGAGGAAGAACAAACAGAGCACCAAGCAUCAAGUAGUGAUCACUGAAUGACUCAAUACUGCCCAGCAUGGACACACCUAGGAAAUGUUAGCCAAAGAAAUGUUAUAAUUGUCUAAGUGUAUAAAUGUCAAAUGAAGGGGGCAAUGUAUAAAUUUUAUUUUAAAAAUAAAUAUUUUUAUUCAUAGUUAUAGUCUCAUAUGAAUUAAAGUACUGAAAAAUGACUUAAUUACCCAAAAGUGUCAUCAUUGUGUAAUAAAAAUAAACUAGAAAAGAACGUUACGAUGGCUAGUAAAUUAUUAGAAAUAUAGACAAAAGACAGAAUUA